rnacentral:rRNA from 1 species
GAUGAACGCUGGCGGUAUGUUUAACACAUGCAAGUCGAACGGACUCUUCGGAGUUAGUGGCGGACGGGUGAGUAACGCGUGAGAAUCUGGCUUUGGGUUCGGGACAACCACUGGAAACGGUGGCUAAUACCGGAUGUGCCGAGAGGUAAAAGAGAAAUUGCCUGAAGAUGAGCUCGCGUCUGAUUAGCUAGUUGGUGAGGUAAAGGCUCACCAAGGCAGCGAUCAGUAGCUGGUCUGAGAGGAUGACCAGCCACACUGGGACUGAGACACGGCCCAGACUCCUACGGGAGGCAGCAGUGGGGAAUUUUCCGCAAUGGGCGAAAGCCUGACGGAGCAAUACCGCGUGAGAGAAGAAGGCUCUUGGGUUGUAAACCUCUUUUCUUAGGGAAGAACAAAAUGACGGUACCUAAGGAAUCAGCAUCGGCUAACUCCGUG